rnacentral:tRNA from 1 species
GUUUUUGUAGCUCAAGGGUCAGAGCAUCCAACUGGUCAUAGGUUUGAUUCCUACCAGGAGCU